GGCUGAGAGCUCUACCCUGUGAGCUGCAUCUGUGCUUAUGGAAUGACCCAAACUUUACCUUUAGGGAACUGAUUGUCACCACUGGGGGGAAGACAAGAAAUCCUGGUCUCACUUCACUUCAGAAGUGGCCUUGUUUCAAAGAGGGCAAGUGAUGUUUGAUGUUUGAUGUUUAGAUUAGGGGAAAGUCCUGGGUUCUUCGAGGGAGAAAAUAACAAAUGUCGUAACAUGUUUCAGGGCUGGGAUAUAGAUCAGGUGUAGGGAGCUCUGAGUUCGAUCCCCCAGUGCCAUGUAGACCAAGUGUAGUACAUACCUGUAAUCUAACAUGUGGAGGGAGGAGAAGCACAUGUUUCAAGGCCAUCACUGGCUACACGUUACAUUUGAGGCCAGCCUGGGAUGCAGGAGACUGUCACUUUGAGGAGUGCUAGUAUAUGUGCACAGUACUGUUGCCUGAGCCAGGGAAGAAUGCCCAAGUGAGUUUAAUGACUUGUUCUUGGGCCUGAGUUCCAGGUUCUCCCUAGGUACCCCUGUUCUUGGGUCUGAGUUCCAGGUUCUCCCUAGGCACCCACUGUU
rnacentral:lncRNA from 1 species